GGGUUGUGAGGUUAAGCGACUAAGCGUACACGGUGGAUGCCCUGGCAGUCAGAGGCGAUGAAGGACGUGCUAAUCUGCGAUAAGCGUCGGUAAGGUGAUAUGAACCGUUAUAACCGGCGAUUUCCGAAUGGGGAAACCCAGUGUGAUUCGUCACACUAUCAUUAACUGAAUCCAUAGGUUAAUGAGGCGAACCGGGGGAACUGAAACAUCUAAGUACCCCGAGGAAAAGAAAUCAACCGAGAUUCCCCCAGUAGCGGCGAGCGAACGGGGAGCAGCCCAGAGCCUGAAUCAGUGUGUGUGUUAGUGGAAGCGUCUGGAAAGGCGUGCGAUACAGGGUGACAGCCCCGUACACAAAAAUGCACAUGCUGUGAGCUCGAUGAGUAGGGCGGGACACGUGGUAUCCUGUCUGAAUAUGGGGGGACCAUCCUCCAAGGCUAAAUACUCCUGACUGACCGAUAGUGAACCAGUACCGUGAGGGAAAGGCGAAAAGAACCCCGGCGAGGGGAGUGAAAAAGAACCUGAAACCGUGUACGUACAAGCAGUGGGAGCACGCUUAGGCGUGUGACUGCGUACCUUUUGUAUAAUGGGUCAGCGACUUAUAUUCUGUAGCAAGGUUAACCGAAUAGGGGAGCCGAAGGGAAACCGAGUCUUAACUGGGCGUUAAGUUGCAGGGUAUAGACCCGAAACCCGGUGAUCUAGCCAUGGGCAGGUUGAAGGUUGGGUAACACUAACUGGAGGACCGAACCGACUAAUGUUGAAAAAUUAGCGGAUGACUUGUGGCUGGGGGUGAAAGGCCAAUCAAACCGGGAGAUAGCUGGUUCUCCCCGAAAGCUAUUUAGGUAGCGCCUCGUGAAUUCAUCUCCGGGGGUAGAGCACUGUUUCGGCAAGGGGGUCAUCCCGACUUACCAACCCGAUGCAAACUGCGAAUACCGGAGAAUGUUAUCACGGGAGACACACGGCGGGUGCUAACGUCCGUCGUGAAGAGGGAAACAACCCAGACCGCCAGCUAAGGUCCCAAAGUCAUGGUUAAGUGGGAAACGAUGUGGGAAGGCCCAGACAGCCAGGAUGUUGGCUUAGAAGCAGCCAUCAUUUAAAGAAAGCGUAAUAGCUCACUGGUCGAGUCGGCCUGCGCGGAAGAUGUAACGGGGCUAAACCAUGCACCGAAGCUGCGGCAGCGACGCUUAUGCGUUGUUGGGUAGGGGAGCGUUCUGUAAGCCUGCGAAGGUGUGCUGUGAGGCAUGCUGGAGGUAUCAGAAGUGCGAAUGCUGACAUAAGUAACGAUAAAGCGGGUGAAAAGCCCGCUCGCCGGAAGACCAAGGGUUCCUGUCCAACGUUAAUCGGGGCAGGGUGAGUCGACCCCUAAGGCGAGGCCGAAAGGCGUAGUCGAUGGGAAACAGGUUAAUAUUCCUGUACUUGGUGUUACUGCGAAGGGGGGACGGAGAAGGCUAUGUUGGCCGGGCGACGGUUGUCCCGGUUUAAGCGUGUAGGCUGGUUUUCCAGGCAAAUCCGGAAAAUCAAGGCUGAGGCGUGAUGACGAGGCACUACGGUGCUGAAGCAACAAAUGCCCUGCUUCCAGGAAAAGCCUCUAAGCAUCAGGUAACAUCAAAUCGUACCCCAAACCGACACAGGUGGUCAGGUAGAGAAUACCAAGGCGCUUGAGAGAACUCGGGUGAAGGAACUAGGCAAAAUGGUGCCGUAACUUCGGGAGAAGGCACGCUGAUAUGUAGGUGAAGCGACUUGCUCGUGGAGCUGAAAUCAGUCGAAGAUACCAGCUGGCUGCAACUGUUUAUUAAAAACACAGCACUGUGCAAACACGAAAGUGGACGUAUACGGUGUGACGCCUGCCCGGUGCCGGAAGGUUAAUUGAUGGGGUCAGCGCAAGCGAAGCUCUUGAUCGAAGCCCCGGUAAACGGCGGCCGUAACUAUAACGGUCCUAAGGUAGCGAAAUUCCUUGUCGGGUAAGUUCCGACCUGCACGAAUGGCGUAAUGAUGGCCAGGCUGUCUCCACCCGAGACUCAGUGAAAUUGAACUCGCUGUGAAGAUGCAGUGUACCCGCGGCAAGACGGAAAGACCCCGUGAACCUUUACUAUAGCUUGACACUGAACAUUGAGCCUUGAUGUGUAGGAUAGGUGGGAGGCUUUGAAGUGUGGACGCCAGUCUGCAUGGAGCCGACCUUGAAAUACCACCCUUUAAUGUUUGAUGUUCUAACGUUGACCCGUAAUCCGGGUUGCGGACAGUGUCUGGUGGGUAGUUUGACUGGGGCGGUCUCCUCCUAAAGAGUAACGGAGGAGCACGAAGGUUGGCUAAUCCUGGUCGGACAUCAGGAGGUUAGUGCAAUGGCAUAAGCCAGCUUGACUGCGAGCGUGACGGCGCGAGCAGGUGCGAAAGCAGGUCAUAGUGAUCCGGUGGUUCUGAAUGGAAGGGCCAUCGCUCAACGGAUAAAAGGUACUCCGGGGAUAACAGGCUGAUACCGCCCAAGAGUUCAUAUCGACGGCGGUGUUUGGCACCUCGAUGUCGGCUCAUCACAUCCUGGGGCUGAAGUAGGUCCCAAGGGUAUGGCUGUUCGCCAUUUAAAGUGGUACGCGAGCUGGGUUUAGAACGUCGUGAGACAGUUCGGUCCCUAUCUGCCGUGGGCGCUGGAGAACUGAGGGGGGCUGCUCCUAGUACGAGAGGACCGGAGUGGACGCAUCACUGGUGUUCGGGUUGUCAUGCCAAUGGCACUGCCCGGUAGCUAAAUGCGGAAGAGAUAAGUGCUGAAAGCAUCUAAGCACGAAACUUGCCCCGAGAUGAGUUCUCCCUGACUCCUUGAGAGUCCUGAAGGAACGUUGAAGACGACGACGUUGAUAGGCCGGGUGUGUAAGCGCAGCGAUGCGUUGAGCUAACCGGUACUAAUGAACCGUGAGGCUUAACCUUACAACGCCGAAG
rnacentral:rRNA from 1 species